CCAAUAGCGUAUAUUAAAGUUGUUGCAGUUAAAAAGCUCGUAGUUGAAUUUCGGGGUUAGUAGGCUGGUCGUGCCACUGGUACGUACUGGUCUCACUGAUUCCUCCUUCCUGAUGAACUGUAAUGCCAUUAAUUUGGUGUUGCAGGGAAACUGGACUGUUACUGUGAAAAAAUUAGAGUGUUUAAAGCAAGCUAACGCUUGAAUACAUUAGCAUGGAAUAAUGAAAUAGGACGUUCGAUCCUAUUUUGUUGGUUUCUAGGAUUGACGUAAUGAUUAAUAGGGAUAGUUGGGGGCAUUAGUAUUCAAUUGUCAGAGGUGAAAUUCUUGGAUUUAUUGAAGACUAACUACUGCGAAAGCAUUUGCCAAGGAUGUUUUCAUUAAUCAAGAACGAAAGUUAGGGGAUCUAAGACGAUCAGAUACCGUCGUAGUCUUAACCAUAAACUAUGCCGACUAGGGAUCGGAUGAUGUUAAUUUUUUAAUGACUCAUUCGGCGCCUUACG
rnacentral:rRNA from 1 species